CGAAGGGCUAGCGUUGCUCGGAAUUACUGGGCGUAAGGGCGCGUAGGCGGACAGUUUAGUCAGAGGUGAAGCCCAGGGCUCAACCUUGGAAUUGCCUUUGAUACUGGCUGUCUUGAGUACGGGAGAGGUGUGUGGAACUCCGAGUGUAGAGGUGAAAUUCGUAGAUAUUCGGAAGAACACCAGUGGCGAAGGCGACACACUGGCCCGUUACUGACGCUGAGGCGCGAAAGCGUGGGAGCAAACAGGAUU
rnacentral:rRNA from 1 species